GACGAACGCUGGCGGCGUGCUUAACACAUGCAAGUCGAACGGAAAGGCCUCAGCUUGCUGGGGUACUCGAGUGGCGGACGGGUGAGUAACACGUGGGUGAUCUGCCUUGCACUCUGGGAUAAGCUUGGGAAACUGGGUCUAAUACCGGAUAUGAACUGCCUUUAGUGUGGUGGUUGGAAAGUUUUUUCGGUGCAAGAUGAGCUCGCGGCCUAUCAGCUUGAUGGUGGGGUAAUGGCCUACCAAGGCGUCGACGGGUAGCCGGCCUGAGAGGGUGUACGGCCACAUUGGGACUGAGAUACGGCCCAGACUCCUACGGGAGGCAGCAGUGGGGAAUAUUGCACAAUGGGCGGAAGCCUGAUGCAGCGACGCCGCGUGGGGGAUGACGGCCUUCGGGUUGUAAACUCCUUUCGACAGGGACGAAGCUUUUUGUGACGGUACCUGUAUAAGAAGCACCGGCUAACUACGUG
rnacentral:rRNA from 1 species